CCACCGAAAGCGCUGAGAUUUCAUACCUAUGCCACAGCAUUGAGUAAUGCUUUUGUUACUCUCUAGCUAGCAAAACUGCUCAUAUCGGUGAUAUAUACAUGAAUAUCCCAUCUACACCGGGACCGAUCUAGGAUUCGAACUUUAUGGGGCACUAAGCAAAUUUUUAGAAAACACCUAUAUAUUUUUAAAUUUUGCAAAAUUUAGAAUGGUAAAAAAAAAGAAGAAAAAUUUAGGGGGACAAGUGUCCCCCGUGCCUCUUCCUAUAUCCGCCCCUGCAUCUACAUGAUAUUUUAACUAGCAAAAUCAUGUCGAAAGAAACCGUUUGAAAGAACAAGUAACAUUCCGACGAAGAUGAAACAAAUUUGCUUGUAAAGAGCUUACACCAAGGCAGGCAUAGUAGUAAUUUAGCAGAAACUGACAUUCCAUAAGGAGGGAACGGUAUUCGAAAAAACACCGUUUGCUUAUUAGUGGCAAGGAGUAUAACGGGAGCUAAAGUUGUUAAGAACAAAAUGAACCUCAGCACGACUUCAAUGACCCUCACAUAAUUCUCUUGUUUAUAGCUGCCAUGACCAUUCUUUUUAUGAUCUUGAGCCAUUGAUUGUGAUUCGGGGUUAAUGGAAGACAUUACUUAAUAUUAAUACCACUCUUCUUCCUUAUAUAUAUAGGUAUGAAGCAGAGUAGAAAGAAGAGUUGAAGAAAUCUGAAAGCUGAGUGACUUGCUUCUACAGCAUAAUUACUAACAUCUUAUCUUUCUUUGCACUCGUGAAACGUUCUACAACAUCAACAAAGUUGAUGUCAUGUGUUUUCUCCGUAGAUGUGGUAAGUGAUGGAAAAUCUCCAUAUGCCUACACAGUUAUAAGACAUCAUGUAUAAUAAUAUCUAUUAACCAUAUAUUGCAUUGUUUUGCUCACCUACUCUUAGGUAUUUUAGCAGCAGGUGAAGUAGCCUACUUAGGACUCAAAGGAAACUCAAAUGUAGGAUGGCACAAGAUCUGCAAUGUCUAUGAUUCCUACUGUCGACACAUUGGAUUCUCCGUUUUAACUUCAAUCUUUUCCUCCAUGGUGCUAUCAUUUCUGAUCAUCCUCUACAUCAUUACUGUCUCACGAAGAUAAACAAAUCACCACGCCAUUGAUUCAUCAAAAUAUUAAGAUUGGCUUUUAGCUAGGGCAGGCUCCCUUUAUGUUUUAUGCAUUGUAUUGCUUUUUAGGUUCUUGUGCAGUGUGUGACUCGUCUAUGUAAGGACCACAGUUUGCAUUAAUGUUUAUUUAAUUAAGCUGUCCAUGAGUUAUACAUGGAAUGAGUUAUAUUAUCUCCAUGUCAACUCUAAAAUGGAUAGGGAGUUUUGGCUUAAAGAUGUUAGCAAAAUAUUAUGGUUUUGAUAUUUGUCAAGAUUCGCUCUAUAAAUGUUGAAAGUUGACUAGGCAUACUAUAUUAUCGCAUAGCUUAAUACAACAUAGUCCCUUUAAACUUAUGGAUAUCUGCAAAAUAUUGUCCCUUUUGAUAUACACUAAACAUCUUUAAAUUGAAAAUUUCUAGACUGAUUAUAUGUGAUACCGUCCAUUUUUCCUAUUUCUAGUAUACCACCCCUAAUGUUGAAGAUUGAUUAAUUAUACCACCAUAUUUUGUUAUAGCAUUUAUAUUUACCGUUCAUACAAAAUCGGGAUUAAUUAAAUAGUAGCAUAACCAAAGUUUAGUAAAAACAAGUAUUAAUCAUGUAAAGAAAAAUCCUUAAAUACUUUGACUUCAUAAAGCAUUAAUUUUAAAAGAAAAUAAGAGAAUACUCUCAACUAUUUUAGUUCAAUAAGAAAUACUCUUGCAUCAUCAUCAUCAUGUUGUUUAUUUAGGUACAUAAAAUUCUACAAUAAAUUAAAAGUAAAUAUACCAUAAAAGCUAGUGUGAUCAUACAAAUUCAAGCAUGAUUACAUACAAAAUUUGGACUUCAAUCUUUCGCUACUUGAGGUUUUCCUAGUUUGAUAUGGAUCAUAUGGUUCUCAUCUGGAUCAUCACGUGUGUUAUAGUCACUAUGUCCUAUUUUAGCUUGAUUCUCAUGAACCACCGAGUCUCGUCUCCAUUGGCGCGAAGAACUUUUCUUUAGUCCACUCCACUUAUAGGUAAUUAACUCGAUCAGGAGUUCUCAUUUAUAUAAAUCACGCUUAUCUCUUCAUGAUGAUAUUUUAAUACACAAAGCCUUAUUGUAAUAUUGUAAAUGAACGUUUUGGCAAAUUGAGUAUAUAUUGAUAACUAUCUUUGUAUCAAUCAAUUACAAGACUAACCAUUGUCAACAAAAAAAAUGGAACAAUCUUUGACAAUUCAAGUUUAUUUCAUAUACCAAUUGAAAUUUCAAAUAUAUUUGUUGAAGUCAAGACACCCUGUUACUCCAAUAUAUACCAACAUGUGUUAUUAAAAUAUUCACGAAGUCAAUUGUCUCAACCCAAUUUUUUGAAAUAAAAAUGGUCUAUUAAAUGCUAACUAACCUGCAUCCCGGCCACAUAAAAAAUAUGGUAAAUUAUAAUCUUUUUGCAAUUCAAACUAGCAAGGUCAAUCACAUAAUUUUCAUAUAUGCUACUAUCGAACAAUUAAUUAGUCUAAAUAAUAUUAUGUGGUGCUAUUAGAAAUAAAUGAUUUUCAUUAACCAUCUCAGGAAAAAUAAAAUUCACCAUAUGUCCAAGUAUGUAGUAUAAAUGGAAGAUGAAAAAUAUUUUGAUUAAUAGCUAAAACUAGAUUAACAUUUUUCAGAUAAAAAUAAUAAAUAUGAUAAAUAAUUGUUGUAAUUAGAAAAUGGGAGGUUACAUAUAUAGUAACCGGCUCAUUAAUCUAGCAUCCAUGUUAGAUUCCCCAUAUUUUAGCAAAGUAAGUGUGGGACAUUUUUUAAAAAAAAAUAAACUUUUUAAUGAUAUCAUUGUGGAUGAAAAUAUUUGUUCUCAAAAUUGAUAACAUUUUUAUAUGGAAACUAAAAUAUGGGAUUGUGAAAAUUAGACUUCUUCAAGAAUCGAUAACAUUGUUACAAACUAAAACAUAUAAUUACAUAAUAAUAAAUAUUUAAAUUCAAUUUAACAUAAUUAUAUUUUAUAUUAUAAGUAAAAAUAUUUAUACACAAGAGGUCAUGAAAAGGCCCUUAUGUGGUCAACAAAUAAUUCUACUAAUAAUUGGGCUAAACUGAAAUAAAACACUAUGGGCCUGUACAAAAUAAACAAAUUUAGAGAACAAAUAUACAAGACAACUACUUAAAAUGCUAAAUUGAUUUACAAGUUAUUCUCAUAACCCUCUGUGCAAUAUCUUGAAAAAUAGUACUCUACAUUUGGAAACCACUGGUAAGGGAAUAUGAUAUUCCGUAGCAAUCUGAAAUACAAAUACAUAAUAAAAUGAUAAUUAGUAUAUAAUUUUACAUAGCUAAGUUAAGAAUAUAUACUAAUUAGAUAUGUUAUACCAGUAGCUCCAAUUGUCUUCUCCCACACCCAGAAUAUCUGAGUGUAAGAGCUCUGUACCAUGAAACAUGAAAAAAAAAAGAACUUAGAUGAUUAUUAUUUAGAUAAUGCAUAGAUACAAUUUUAUUAUGAUUAUAUAUGUGUGUGUGUGUGUGAUUCUACUAUAUACAAGCAAUUCAAAACUAAUUUUAAUUUAUUAUUAAAAUUUAUAUAUUAAUAAGCAUGUCAUUAAAAUUGGAAUCCAUACCUGAUAUUUGAUUGGAGCAUAUUCUUCAUUGUUUUGGUAAUGAAAGUUUAUAGUUACCUGAGGAAAAAAAAUCAGUUUAUAAUUUUGUUUAACAUAUUUGAUAAAUAUUAUAAAUAAAGCUAUAUUUUAUGAAUUAUUUAAAAAUAGUAAUAAUAUUUGUUAAUCACCCACACUUCAUCAAAAAUAGAUUUAAUUAAAAUUUAUAAAUUAUAUAUUAUUAUUACAAUAUAUAAAAUGUAUAUAGAAUAUAUAUUAUAUAAAUAUAUGUUAUAUAUUGUUUGUAAUAUUCGGUCUGGAUUGAAAUAUUUUUACACCAUGAACCGAGUCUGCUGAGUACAAGUUUUGCAAGAUCUAGCUAACAGGUGAAUGGGUCGGAUUUUGGAUCACCAAACAAACCAAAUCCACGGAUUGUAGUUAUAUAUCAGUUUAAAAUUUACAAGUUUAUAUAACCCUUAAACCAUGGAAAAAUUGUAGCUAACUUCCAUAAACAAAUAUUUUUAAGAAGGUUAUCUUCAUGUGCAGUUUAAAAUUUUUAAAUUUAUAUGUAUCCCCUAAAUUAUGGAAAAAUGUAACUAACUUUCAUAAACAGAUAUUUCAAAAAGGUUAUUUACCGAUAUCCACCCUGUUUAAUUUCUUUUGUAUAUUUUAUGACCCUAUUAAAUACAUUCGUAGAUCUUCUAUUUACGAUGUUUCCAAAUACCCUGUACUACAAAUAAAGGACUCCCAUGUUGCAGAAAGGGAGGAGGACACUGUUUACUAUGCUGGAUUUCUAAGCAAGUUUCUAAGAAAUAUCUAUGUAAAUUUCGCAUCCAUUCUAUAUUGUUGUUGCUUUCAAUAUUUGUUAUCCUAUCAGGUUCCUCAUUUAUGUUUGGAAGAGCUCUGACAUCCGUGCUUUGGGGAAUUUUGGCCGAUCGUUAUGGUCGAAAGCCUGUGAUUAUACUUGGCACAAUUCAGUGUUAGUUUUGUGAUCCCGAGUUUUCAAAGAUAUUCAUUGAUAUUGUAGGUAUGUGUUAAUAAUCUUUGCCUCCAUAUCUUUUGGUGAUCACAGGGUUAUUUUUAACACUCUUUUGGUGUUAGUACAAGCUUCUGGAUGGCAGUUUCUAUAAGGUUUCUUUUAUGAAAUUUGUGUGGAGCACUUGGCCCAAUGAGGGAAUGUUGAUAUUCAUCUAAUUUCAAUGCACUGCUACAGUACAUGAUACUUGGCUUUAAAUUCAAUCCGGCAGGUAGGUUUUACUUGAUUCAGAUUAAAAGUGUGAUACAUUGACAGGCAGUUACGUUCAGAAUCUGUAUAUCAGUGUCAUCAAGCAUUAGAGACACUUGGAAAUACGACAACUCUAUUGACAAAAUAGUGCAACUCUAUUGAUGACAUAUCUAAAGCUGUACGAAGUUUGUUGUCAUACCAUCCGAUUGAUUCUUAACAUGUUAGUUUCAGUUGGUUUGAGAGAAGGAGCAUGACCCGGGUGAUGAAAAAAGUUAUAAUGAUAUAAUUUGUAAGUUACAGACAAUGAUAUAAUUUGUAAGUUACAGACUCAGGGAAAGGAAUUGAUAAUCUUGCACUGUGGAAUGAGAACCUUGACUCUUCGAUCACCAAUGCUGGCUUGCACACCAUUUUCUCCGAAUAUGGAACUAUACUUUUUUGCAAGGUGGCUGAGGAAUAUGGCAAGAGUAAGGGCUUUGGAUUUGUGCAAUUUGAUUCUGAGGAUGCCGCUUUGUCUACUAUAGCUGCUUUUCAUCAAACAUUUGUUGAGGGAAAGCAAUUGUAUUUCUGCAGAGUUAGCCAUCACCUUCUCUUUCUGUAUUUCUGCAGAGAUUCUUAUGUAGUUUUGCGAUGUUUUAAUUUGUAACUUUAGGGUCAUUUGCAUUAUGUUAAUUUCCCCUGCUUCAAUUUUAGUUAGUUGUUUAUGGUUUCAUCACAUGUUUCGGACUUCCCUACAAUGUGCGGCUUAUAAAAUGUGCACGUCCCAUACAGUUCCUCUCCUAUACGUUGGAGGUCUUGCUACUUAAAUGCUUUUUCAUUGUCCAAACAAGAUCAAAUAAGCUGUAUGUGGGAAGGCUCAAAGGAAAGCUGAAAGGAAAGAUCACUUGGUAUAUACUAAUAAAAAUUUGCUUAACUACCACACUCAAAAACAGAAGGCCUCAAAUCUAUUUGUGAAGAAUCUCAAUAUAUCCAUCGUUGACAGAAAAUUAGAACAAAUCUUUGGUACUUAUGGAAAGGUCACUUCAGCAAGAGUGAUGCGUCUGCUUUGGUAAUUUUUAAUUACAUUAAUCUUUUGUAAAUCUUACAGAUUCUAUAUUCUAUUUAGGAGUAACGGUCUUCCUUCAAUUUUUUGUAAAUAUAAACUUAUUUUUCCUGUCUUAUUUUUACUAACAUAUUUUUAAUAUAAAAUACAUAAUCAUAUUCAUUAUAAUUAUAUAAAAAUUAUAUAAUCCAAAUAUAACAUACUUACAAAACUACAAUUUAGUUUUCACUUAAACCGUCACUACUUUUGAGGAGUAAUAUUAUUUACUCAACUAUAACAAAAAUUUGAAAAAAAGGUUGCAAAGACAGCUUAUUCUUAAUAUCUAACCGUCAAGCCUAUAUUGAAAAAAUGGUUACAAAGGCAGAUUAUCAAAAUUUAGAUUAGAAUAAUUUUAAUAUAAUAUUAACAACUUUUUGUGAAUAAAUGAUAAAUAUUGAAAGAUGUCACAUACGUACGAACGAUUUUAUUGAUCAUUAUUAGGUAUUGAUAUGUAUGAUGAAUUUUUUUUUAAAAGAAAAAAAAUUAUACGCCCGCUCGCAGAGCGCGGGCAAGAAAGGCUAUUACAUAAUAAAAUGAUAAUUAGUAUAUAAUUUUACAUAGCUAAGUGAAGAAUAUAUACUAAUUAGAUAUGUUAUACCAGUAGCUCCAAUUGUCUUCUCCCACACCCAGAAUAUCUGAGUGUAAGAGCUCUGUACCAUGAAACAUGAAAAAAAAAAGAACUUAGAUGAUUAUUAUUUAGAUAAUGCAUAGAUACAAUUUUAUUAUGAUUAUAUAUGAUUAUUAUUUAGAUAAUGCAUAGAUACAAUUUUAUUAUGAUUAUAUAUAUGUGUGUGUGUGUGAUUCUACUAUAUACAAGCAAUUCAAAACUAAUUUUAAUUUAUUAUUAAAAUUUAUAUAUUAAUAAGCAUGUCAUUAAAAUUGGAAUCCAUACCUGAUAUUUGAUUGGAGCAUAUUCUUCAUUGUUUUGGUAAUGAAAGUUUAUAGUUACCUGAGGAAAAAAAAUCAGUUUAUAAUUUUGUUUAACAUAUUUGAUAAAUAUUAUAAAUAAAGCUAUAUUUUAUGAAUUAUUUAAAAAUAGUAAUAAUAUUUGUUAAUCACCCACACUUCAUCAAAAAUAGAUUUAAUUAAAAUUUAUAAAUUAUAUAUUAUUAUUACAAUAUAUAAAAUGUAUAUAGAAUAUAUAUUAUAUAAAUAUAUGUUAUAUAUUGUUUGUAAUAUUCGGUCUGGAUUGAAAUAUUUUUAAGGACAACACAAAUUUUAUUUCGGUCCAGACCGAAUAGACCGAAUUUCUAAAAAAUUAGGAUCGAACCGAAUUUACACGAUUCCUUUCAGUUAAACAAUAAGUAGUUUUCAUGAGACAUUUUAGUCCAUAUCAAUUGCCUAUCCAACUCAAUGUCUAAUUAGUUAUAUGUAUUGAACACAUAGUUUAUUUAUAUAUUUUCAAAUAAAAUAGUGAUGUAUUUUCAAUUAUUUUCAACCUGAAUAAGUUAUAUAACUAAUAACUAAUAUAUAUAAAAAAUUAAAAAAAAAAUUUUGUAAGUGACGUAAGCUUGUCCAAACCCUGCCCGAUCUAUAUAUUCCCCCCUGUAUCAUAUUCUUCAUUGUUUUGGUAAUAAAAGUUUAUAGUUACCUGAGGAAAAAAAAUCAGUUUAUAAUUUUGUUUAACAUAUUUGAUAAGUAACUGUAAUGACGAUAAAAAAGUUUUAAAUAUCAAAAAUUUGAGCGGAGUUACAUAGGAAGAGUAACAACUACAUAAUUUUAGAUUCAUAAUUAUAGGAUAAUAUCAAUAUGAUAUCAUCACAUCAUGUCAAAAUAAUUGCAACUAUAUAUUAUAUUUUCACUAAUAUCGGAUUUAAGCUAAGAGGACUACUGUUUUUAUUUAUCAAGAAGAAAAUGAAAAAACAUUUUAUAAGGGGUUUUUUAUGAGUUGUUAUAAAAAUAGAUAAGCAUUAUUUCUUUACUAAUAUGAAUGUCCAUAUACAUAUACAUACACACACAAAUCUAUCAAAUGGAUAAUACAAUCAUACAUAUACAUAUAUGUAAACACAUACCAUAAACUUUUGAAGAGCAAAUGGAUGGAGAAAGAAUAACUAAUAAUACACACGUAUAUAUCAAAUGGAUAAUACACUCAUUCCAAUAAGGAUUAAUGGAUGGAGAAAGAAUAACAAAUAAUCCACACAUUUGAAUGUUUUUGAUGUUUUUGAUGGUGGUGUUAAAACCGAAAACAAUAAUGAGAGAAAAGUUUAUAUAACUUAAUUUAGAGUUAUAAUAUUAUAUCCAAUCACCUAUAAAAUGGAGUGUUUAUACAGAUACAUAGGAAAUUUCUGGAACACACCUGAAGGUGCUAGGAGGUGGAUAAAUGACACAGAGCCCAACUACAUAAUGCCCAAGUCAAACUAGGUGCAAAUUUUUUAGGUCCAUUACAUAUCCCAUAUGAUUUAGGCCAUUAUAUGCUUUUUUUAGGUUAGUUGGUGUGGGAAAAUUAAUAUUAUUAAAACUAAUUAUUAUAUUAUACUUGUGUUAGAAAAUAAGUGAAUCAUAAGUAGUUAAUUUUAUAGUAUUAAUUUGUUCAAAUGGAUUCACAUUUAUAGUAUACUUAGUGUCAUAUAUAUGGAUGAGUUUAUAAAUUCACAAGUAAUUUAUAAAAUUCAAUACUAAAUAAUAUUUUUACAAUAUAUAUGUUUAUACACUUUAAAUAUUUAUUUAAUAAUUCAUUGAAAAAGAAGAAAUCUUAAUUUUGCAUACAAAUAUUUUUAGACAAAUUUUUGUUUUUAAAUAUUAAAUUUCUAUGAAUAACCGACUAUAUAAAAUUCGUCGAAUAACCGAUUUUGAUAAAUACAUAUAUAUUCACAUCAUCAACUUUUUAUUUCCAAUAAUCUCUCCUUGUUUAAGAUUUGAUAACGUAAUCAUAAAUCUGAGUUGAUGAUGUCCAAACUCAUAAUAUACAAACAUAAUUGCAAUUUGUACAUAUGUACUCGGUUAAAAAAAAGAAAAUAGAUAUUAAAAAAUUUGUGCGCUAAGUAUUCCUGAAAACUCACCCAUCGAAGUCCGAAAACAUAUCAAUAUAGCAUGCAAGUCAGCUAUCUGUACAAUGAGCAAAUACUGAGAACACACAAGCCACUUUUGCUUUUUCCGCAAGCAGCUAGCUCACAGAAUGGGAAAUUACAAACCCCUUAGAAAUCAUGUAACUAUACAUCAUUUCUUCCAUUGAAUGGAAAUAAUUAUAUUUUGUUGAGAUGGAACUUAUCAGGCCUAAUGUUAAAGAAAAAUUGAAGCCCUCAGCAAGAUGAAUAAAAAUUAUUGUUUUUCAGUAAAAAUUAAAUAUUACUAUGUUAGAUCUAUAUUCCUAUUUGUUUACCCAAAAUUUAGAAUUAUAACAUUAAAUUUAAAUACCUCAACUUUUUUAGAACAAGUCUGAGUCAAGUAGCAGUGAUUCGAAGCACUUUUUUUUACACUAUUUGGGAAACACAAGGACUAAAUCGUAUGGAUAUGUAAAAUACAGGAUUUUCAAUCCUAGCAGGAAAAGGAGGGAAACGGAUACUCAAUUUAAAGUGAGUGAACAAAAUUCCAUACUCGAUUUCAUAGAUACAUAUAGAAUUCUGCACAAAGCCGUAUUCGAUGAAAGUGGUAUGUACGGUGCUUGGAGGGAGAUCUUUCAUAUCUUUGGAGAUCCACCCUACAAUAUAGAGUAAAAAAGCCAAAAUAAGUGAUUUUAGCCCUUAUAAAAAAAUAAAACGGAUUCUUGAACCCCCUUCACGCUCAUGUCACGUCGAGGUACUGCAGAAGAAAAAACUGCAAAAUCCGAUCCAAUUUAUCGUAAUCGAUUAGUUAACAUGUUGGUUAACCGUAUUCUGAAACACGAAAAAAAAUCAUUGGCUUAUCAAAUUAUCUAUCGAUCCGUGAAAAAGAUUCAAUAAAAGACAAAAACAAAUCCACUAUCUGUUUUACGUCAAGCAAUAUACAUAUUUAUUUUUAAAUAAUAAUAAUAUAUAUCCAUAUAAUAUUUUUUUUCAUGUGGUAUAACUAAUCUCAAAUAAUAUAUGAAAUUUGGCAUAAAAAAGUAGUAGUUAAAUUUUUUAUAAAAGUACUCAUAUUCAAAAUAAAUCUGACUUUCAAAUUUCUGAUUUAACAGAAGUUUAGUGAAACUAAAUCCGUAGUCUAAAUCUAUAUUAUUCAAGUAUUUAUGGAAUAAAAUGAGUUGUACAAGAACUUUCACACAACCACCUCAAAUCAAAAUAUCUUUAGAACAUAAGUGAAGGCUAGAAUGUUAAAAAAUAAAGGAAAAGCAACAUGAUGUAAAUUAAGAUACACGGCAUAUAGUACAUCACUAGUUCUGAUCAAGGUAAAAGGGUAAAAACAUAGAGAACAAUAAGCGAUAUUAGUGUCAUGGCUGCAAAGCUUGAAAUGAGGCAAGAGAAUCCGACAUGCAUGGAGACAAAAGGUAUCAUAGACAGUACAGAUCUUGGGCCAUUUUGCAGCUUUGUUUCCUCUGAGUCCUAUGUAAGCAGCUUCUCCUCCUGCUCCUGCUGCUGCUGCUACGAUCCCAACUAGUAGCUGUGCCACAUAUUUGUUGGAAAAAAUAUUUUCCAUAAAAAUACUAUAAACUCCAUUAAUUUGAAAUAGUGAUGUUGGAAACCUUACCAAAUCCAUCACAAAAAUAGUAAACGUUAGUUUUGCUGAUCUUUUUGCUCCCUUCAUGAAAGAAAAAAGGGAUAUGAUCCCUGUGAUAAUGCUGUAUAAGCAAGCCACUGAAAGCGCUGAUAUCUCAUACCUGCCACAGCAUUGAGCAAUUCUUUUGUUACUCUCUAGCAAAAACUGCUCAAAGUGGUGAUAUAUACAUGAAUUUCCCAUCUACACAGGGGCGGAUCUAGUAUUCGAACUUUAGGAGGCACUAAGUAAAACACCUAUAUAUUUUUAACUUUUGCAAAUUUAGAAUGGUAAAAAAAGGAAAAAAAAAAUUAGGGAGGACACGUGUCCUCCUUGCCUCUUACUAGAUCCGCUCCUGCAUCUACACUAGCAAAAUCAUGUCGAAAGGAACCCUUUGAAAGAACAAGUAAUAUUCUGACGAACAAGAAACAGAUUUGCUUGUAGAUAGCUUACACCAAGGCAGGCAUAGUAGUGAAUUUAGCAGAAACUGACAUUCCAUAAGGAGGGAACGGUAUUCGAAAAAACACCGUUUGCUUACUAGUGGCAAGGAGUAUAACGGGAGCUAAAGCUGUUAAGAACAAAAUGAACCUCAGCACGACUUCAAUGACCCUCGCAUAUUUUUCUUGUUUAUAGCUGCCAUGACCAUUCUUUUUAUGGUCUUGAGCCAUUGAUUGUGAUUCGGGGUUAAUGGAAGACAUCACUUAAUAUUUAUACCACUCUUCUUCCUUAAAUAAAUGUAUGAAGCAGAGUAGAAAGAAGAGUUGAAGAAAUCUGAAAGCUUGAGGUUUCUUAAGAAUUAAGACGUUUUAAAGCACUAUUUAUAGAGUUGC
rnacentral:lncRNA from 1 species